GACGAACGCUGGCGGCGUGCUUAACACAUGCAAGUCGAACGGAAAGGCCCUGCUUUUGUGGGGUGCUCGAGUGGCGAACGGGUGAGUAACACGUGAGUAACCUGCCCUUGACUUUGGGAUAACUUCAGGAAACUGGGGCUAAUACCGGAUAGGAGCUCCUGCUGCAUGGUGGGGGUUGGAAAGUUUCGGCGGUUGGGGAUGGACUCGCGGCUUACCAGCUUGUUGGUGGGGUAGUGGCUUACCAAGGCUUUGACGGGUAGCCGGCCUGAGAGGGUGACCGGCGACAUUGGGACUGAGAUACGGCCCAGACUCCUACGGGAGGCAGCAGUGGGGAAUAUUGCACAAUGGGCGGAAGCCUGAUGCAGCAACGCCGCGUGCGGGAUGACGGCCUUCGGGUUGUAAACCGCUUUCGCCUGUGACGAAGCGUGAGUGACGGUAAUGGGUAAAGAAGCACCGGCUAACUACGUG
rnacentral:rRNA from 1 species